rnacentral:rRNA from 1 species
GUCCACGCCGUAAACGAUGUCUACUAGCCGUUGGGUUCCUUGAGGACUUAGUGGCGCAGCUAACGCAAUAAGUAGACCGCCUGGGGAGUACGGUCGCAAGAUUAAAACUCAAAUGAAUUGACGGGGGCCCGCACAAGCGGUGGAGCAUGUGGUUUAAUUCGACGCAACGCGAAGAACCUUACCAGGUCUUGACAUCCAGAGAACUUUCCAGAGAUGGAUUGGUGCCUUCGGGAGCUCUGAGACAGGUGCUGCAUGGCUGUCGU